rnacentral:rRNA from 1 species
AAAUUGAAGAGUUUGAUCAUGGCUCAGAUUGAACGCUGGCGGCAGGCCUAACACAUGCAAGUCGAACGGUAACAGGAAGAAGCUUGCUUCUUUGCUGACGAGUGGCGGACGGGUGAGUAAUGUCUGGGAAACUGCCUGAUGGAGGGGGAUAACUACUGGAAACGGUAGCUAAUACCGCAUAAUGUCGCAAGACCAAAGAGGGGG